GAUGAACGCUAGCGGCAGGCUUAAUACAUGCAAGUCGUGGGGCAGCAUGAAUGUAGCAAUACAUUUGAUGGCGACCGGCAAACGGGUGCGGAACACGUACACAACCUUCCUAUAAGUGGGGAAUAGCCCAGAGGAAUUUGGAUUAAUACCCCGUAACAUAACGAUGUGGCAUCACAUUGUUAUUAUAGCUUCCGCGCUUAUUGAUGGGUGUGCGGCUGAUUAGAUAGUUGGCGGGGUAACGGCCCACCAAGUCUACGAUCAGUAGCUGAUGUGAGAGCAUGAUCAGCCACACGGGCACUGAGACACGGGCCCGACUCCUACGGGAGGCAGCAGUAAGGAAUAUUGGUCAAUGGACGCAGGUCUGAACCAGCCAUGCCGCGUGAAGGAUUAAGGUCCUCUGGAUUGUAAACUUCUUUUAUCUGGGACGAAAAAAGGCUUUUCUAAGUUACUUGACGGUACCAGAUGAAUAAGCACCGGCUAACUCCGUGCCAGCCGCCGCCGUAAGAC
rnacentral:rRNA from 1 species